UACGGAGGGGGCUAGCGUUGUUCGGAAUUACUGGGCGUAAAGCGCGCGUAGGCGGAUCUGCAAGUCGGGGGUGAAAUCCCGAGGCUCAACCUCGGAACUGCCUUCGAUACUGCGGGUCUCGAGUCCGGGAGAGGUGAGUGGAAUUCCUAGUGUAGAGGUGAAAUUCGUAGAUAUUCGGAAGAACACCAGUGGCGAAGGCGGCUCACUAGCCCGGUACUGACGCUGAGGUGCGAAAGCGUGGGGAGCAAACAGGG
rnacentral:rRNA from 1 species